GGACCCGCACAAGCAGCGGAGCAUGUGGUUUAAUUCGAAGCAACGCGAAGAACCUUACCUAGACUUGACAUGUCCUGAAUUACCAGUAAUGUGGGAAGUUCCUUCGGGAACAGGAACACAGGUGGUGCAUGGUUGUCGUCAGCUCGUGUCGUGAGAUGUUGGGUUAAGUCCCGCAACGAGCGCAACCCUUAUUGUUAGUUGGUACCAUUAAGUUGACCACUCUAGCGAGACUGCCCGGGUUAACCGGGAGGAAGGUGGGGAUGACGUCAAAUCAUCAUGCCCCUUAUGUCUAGGGCUACACACGUGCUACAAUGGCAAGUACAAAGAGAAGCAAUACUGUGAAGUGGAGCAAAACUCAAAAACUUGUCUCAGUUCGGAUUGUAGGCUGAAACUCGCCUACAUGAAGCUGGAGUUGCUAGUAAUCGCGAAUCAGAAUGUCGCGGUGAAUACGUUCCCGGGUCUU
rnacentral:rRNA from 1 species